AUUGUUGUGGCCGAGUGGUUAAGGCGAUGGACUAGAAAUCUUUUGGGAUCUUCCCGCGCAGGUUCGAAUCCUGCCGACAUCG
rnacentral:tRNA from 1 species